rnacentral:rRNA from 1 species
GACGAACGCUGGCGGCGUGCCUAAUACAUGCAAGUAGAACGCACAGUUUAUACCGUAGCUUGCUACACCAUAGACUGUGAGUUGCGAACGGGUGAGUAACGCGUAGGUAACCUGCCUGGUAGCGGGGGAUAACUAUUGGAAACGAUAGCUAAUACCGCAUAAUAUUAAUUAUUGCAUGAUAAUUAAUUGAAAGGUGCAAUUGCACCACUACCAGAUGGACCUGCGUUGUAUUAGCUAGUAGGUGAGGUAACGGCUCACCUAGGCGACGAUACAUAGCCGACCUGGGAGGGUGAUCGGCCACACUGGGACUGAGACACGGCCCAGACUCCUACGGGAGGCAGCAGUAGGGAAUCUUCGGCAAUGGACGAAAGUCUGACCGAGCAACGCCGCGUGAGUGAAGAAGGUUUUCGGAUCGUAAAGCUCUGUUGUAAGAGAAGAACGGGUGUGAGAGUGGAAAGUUCACACUGUGACGGUAUCUGACCAGAAAGGGACGGCUAACUACGUG